UCCACGAUCUCCACGUUGACGACCUUUGC
rnacentral:piRNA from 1 species